AUUCUUCGGAUGAAGUAUGAUAUGACUGAGUGGCGGACGGGUGAGUAACGCGUGAGUAACCUGCCCUUCGAGAGGGGGAUAGCGUUUGGAAACGAACGGUAAUACCGCAUAAUGUAUUUUGACCGCAUGAUCGAAAUACCAAAAGAUUUAUCGCUGAAGGAUGGACUCGCGUCUGAUUAGGUAGUUGGUGGGGUAACGGCCUACCAAGCCGACGAUCAGUAGCCGGACUGAGAGGUUGAUCGGCCACAUUGGGACUGAGACACGGCCCAGGCUCC
rnacentral:rRNA from 1 species